rnacentral:tRNA from 1 species
GGAGACGUAGACGAAUUGGUAAAGUCAGCGGACUGUAAAUCCGCCGGGCGACGCCCACUGUAGGUUCAAGUCCUACCGGCUCCACCA